AGUGGCGACCGGGUGAGUAACACGUGACUAACCUACCUCCGAAUGGGGAAUAACUCCGGGAAACCGGGGCUAAUACCGCAUAACACCGCAAGGUCAAAGCAGCAAUGCGUUUGGAGAGGGGGUCGCGGCUGAUUAGCUAGUUGGCGGGGUAACGGCCCACCAAGGCGAAGAUCGGUAUCCGGCCUGAGAGGGCGCACGGACACACUGGAACUGAAACACGGUCCAGACUCCUACGGGAGGCAGCAGUGGGGAAUUUUGCGCAAUGGGGGAAACCCUGACGCAGCAACGCCGCGUGGAGGAUGAAGCCCUUUGGGGCGUAAACUCCUUUCGACCAAGACGAUAAUGACGGUACUGGUGGAAGAAGCACCGGCUAACUCUGUGCCAGCAGCCGCGGUAAUACAGAGGGUGCGAGCGUUGUUCGGAAUUAUUGGGCGUAAAGGGCGCGUAGGCGGUGCCACAAGUCACCUGUGAAAUCUCCGGGCUUAACUCGGAGCCUGCAGGCGA
rnacentral:rRNA from 1 species